rnacentral:rRNA from 1 species
AGCGAACGCUGGCGGCGUGCCUAACACAUGCAAGUCGAACGUGAAAUGGGGCAACCCAAAGUAAAGUGGCGCACGGGUGAGUAACGCGUAGGUAAUCUACCUGAUUGUUCGGAAUAACCUGCCGAAAGGCGGGCUAAUACUGGAUAGAGCGAGGAACUCGUAAGGAGUUUUUCGGGAAAGGGGGCUUUUCAAAAAGCUCUCGCAGUCGGAUGAGCCUGCGUCUCAUUAGCUAGUUGGUGGGGUAAUGGCCCACCAAGGCUGUGAUGAGUAGCUGGUCUAAGAGGAUGAUCAGCCACACUGGAACUGAAACACGGUCCAGACUCCUACGGGAGGCAGCAGUGGGGAAUCUUGCGCAAUGGACGAAAGUCUGACGCAGCCACGCCGCGUGAGUGAAGAAGGCCUUCGGGUCGUAAAGCUCUGUCGGGCGGGACGAAAAGGUUUUGCACUAAUACUGCAGAGCUCUGACGGUACCGCCAAAGGAAGCACCGGCUAACUUCGUGCCAGCAGCCGCGGUAAUACGAGGGGUGCAAGCGUUGCUCGGAAUUAUUGGGCGUAAAGGGUAGGUAGGUGGUCUUGUUUGUCUGUGGUGAAAUCCUUGGGCUUAACCCAAGAAGUGCCAUAGAAACGGCAAGACUCGAGUUCUGGAGAGGGUCGUGGAAUUCCCGGUGUAGCGGUGAAAUGCGUAGAGAUCGGGAGGAACACCAGAGGCGAAGGCGGCGACCUGGACAGAUACUGACACUCAACUACGAAAGCGUGGGUAGCAAACAGGAUUAGAUACCCUGGUAGUCCACGCCGUAAACGAUCGGUACUAGGCUUAAGAGGUCUUGACCCCUUUUGAGCCGGAGCUAACGCGAUAAGUACCGCGCCUGGGAAGUACGGUCGCAAGACUAAAACUCAAAGGAAUUGACGGGGGCCCGCACAAGCGGUGGAUCAUGUGGUUUAAUUCGAAGCAACGCGAAGAACCUUACCUGGGUUUGACAUCUCCGGACAAACGUAGAGAUACGUCUUUUGUAGCAAUACAACCGGAUGACAGGUGCUGCAUGGCUGUCGUCAGCUCGUGUGGUGACAUGUUGGGUUAAGUCCCGCAACGAGCGCAACCCUCGUUCUGUGUUGCCAGCAUUUAGUUGGGGACUCACAGGAGACUGCCGGGGUUAACUCGGAGGAAGGUGGGGAUGACGUCAAAUCAUCAUGCCCCUUAUGUCUUGGGCUGCACGCAUGCUACAAUGGCUGGUACAAACGGCUGCGAUACCGCAAGGUGGAGCGAAUCCGAUAAAGCCAGUCUCAGUUCGGAUUGGGGUCUGCAACUCGACCCCAUGAAGUCGGAGUUGCUAGUAAUCGUAGAUCAGCAACGCUACGGUGAAUACGUUCCCGGGGCU